CUGAACUGCUUCCAGAUCUGGUGCAUAUGGUGCAUUUCUUCUCCAGGGGCGAAACCCUGAGAUGGAGGAACGUAACUGGGAAACUCAGCCUAAUCCCUCCUGCCGGGAAGUGCACCCCUGAUUACCCCACAGGAUUGGCCGCUAUCCGCCUCUCCUCCUCCGGCGGGGCUUCGCACCCGCUCGCUCAUUUCUCCCGUCUCCCUUUCCUUAGCGUCGCUACUUCCAUAAGGAUAUAUUGCCUCGUUUAGGCAGGUGAGCCCAAAGCGAGUGCCAGCACAGCAGAGGUGGCAGAUGUGCAGAUGGAUGGCAGGACCGUGGCACUGCCACCCGGGAUCCUUUUACAUUGCUGUGGAACAGCAGGCUCAGCCCUGAGAAGUUCCUACUCCACCUAAUCUUAACCAUCGGCAAUUUUUAGAAAUGAGACCUUCUCUUCUAGAAACUAAAUAGAGAAGAGGCAGUCCAGCAAAUCUUAUUCAUGAAAAAUUCCCCAAACCCUUCUAGUCAGUGGGAGUUUCACACCAAGAAAGGCCACGAGAUGAGGUAAGAAGCACUGUUUUAAUCUGAACUAACCAAAUUUAUGGAGAAGUGUGAAGUUAAUAAUAGAUUUGAAUAAUGUUAUACCUAGACAAGGAUAUUUUCAUACCUCAGGUUCAUUCAGGUUCCCUCUGUUCAUGUAUGGUUUUUAGCAGUGAUUUUGGCAAUGGGUGUGUCUGUGAAGUUUUUGUUCCUGAUUUAUGACUUUUUAAUGGUAGAUAAGCAGAACUCCUCAUCCCUAGUAUUUUUAGAUCCUAAGGGAUAAGAGCAUAUCUGUUCUGCUGAACCUCCUUAAGCUCUCAUCAAAGUACUUCAGUUAUAUCUGUUGGGGCUUACCAAUAACUAAAAAUGUUCAGAAAUUUCAUUUAUAAGAUCCUUACCUUUAGGUACUUUUAACCUUUU